rfam:Daphnia pulex DAPPTscaffold_10_Cont659, whole genome shotgun sequence.
GUUCUCAUGGUGUAGUUGGUUAUCACAUCAGUCUAACACACUGAAGGUCUCCAGUUCGAACCUGGAUGAGAACA